GGGGGGGGGGGGGGGGGGGGCUGGGGGGUGGGGGUGGGGCGGGGGGGGGGUGGGGGGUUGGGGUUGCGGGGGGGGAGGGGCGGGGGGGGGGGGAGUGCAUCGGAAGCUAGUUUUUGGUGGGGGAUGGCGGAGGGAAGCUGACGCUACUGCCGCGUAAGACCUACGGGUGAGAGGAGGGGAUCUUCGGACCUUGCGCGGUUGAAGGCGCCGAUGUCGGAUUAGCUAGUUGGCGGGGUAAAGGCCCACCAAGGCGACGAUCCGUAGCUGGUCUGAGAGGAUGAUCAGCCACACUGGAACUGAGACACGGUCCAGACUCCUACGGGAGGCAGCAGUGGGGAAUAUUGGACAAUGGGCGCAAGCCUGAUCCAGCCAUACCGCGUGGGUGAAGAAGGCCUUCGGGUUGUAAAGCCCUUUUGUUGUGAAAGAAAAGCAGCAGGUUAAUACCCCGCUGUUCUGACGGUACCCAAAGAAUAAGCACCGGCUAACUUCGUG
rnacentral:rRNA from 1 species